UACGUAGGGUGCGAGCGUUAAUCGGAAUUACUGGGCGUAAAGGGUUCGUAGGUGGCCAACUAAGUCAUACGUGAAAUCCCUCAGCUUAACUGGGGAACUGCGUCUGAUACUGGUUGGCUUGAGUGCAGGAGAGGAACGCGGAAUUCCAGGUGUAGCGGUGAAAUGCGUAGAUAUCUGGAGGAACACCGGUGGCGAAGGCGGCGUUCUGGACUGCAACUGACACUGAGGAACGAAAGCCAGGGGAGCAAACGGG
rnacentral:rRNA from 1 species